GGAGGAAAGCAGGGGAUCGCAAGACCUUGCGCUCAUUGAGCGGCCGAUGCCUGAUUAGCUAGUUGGUGAGGUAAAGGCUUACCAAGGCGACGAUCAGUAGCUGGUCUGAGAGGACGACCAGCCACACUGGGACUGAGACACGGCCCAGACUCCUACGGGAGGCAGCAGUGGGGAAUUUUGGACAAUGGGGGAAACCCUGAUCAGCCAUGCCGCGUGAGUGAAGAAGGCCUUCGGGUUGUAAAGCUCUUUCAGCCGGAACGAAACGGUCACGGCUAAUACCUGUGACUACUGACGGUACCGGAAGAAGAAGCACCGGCUAACUACGUGCCAGCAGCCGCGGUAAUACGUAGGGUGCGAGCGUUAAUCGGAAUUACUGGGCGUAAAGCGUGCGCAGGCGGUUUUGUAAGUCUGAAGGGAAAUCCCCGGGCUUAACCUGGGAACUGCGUUUGUUAAAGGAGGCUAGAAGGGC
rnacentral:rRNA from 1 species